GCGUCGGCUUCCGGCCCAACCUGCCGGAAGUGGAAGCACAGGCUUCCCAUAAUGCCUCGCGGCGCGCCUAUUCAAACCGCACGGCGGAGAGGAGGUCGCGAUGGCAGCUCCGGAGCCGGAAGUGCGGUCCUUGACCGCAGCCCCAGGGUUGGAGUGGUAUGAGGAGGCCGAGGACUCCCACGCCCCCCACAUAGAACUCCUGGACACGACCGCCGCCCAGGAACUUCCCAGCCGCUCGGAGCCUUUUCGCCCCCGCCAUGGCCUGGUGCCCGUGGUGUUCCCCGGGCCUGUCAGCCAGGAAGGCUGCUGUCAGUUUACGUGUGAAUUUCUAAAGCAUGUCAUGUACCAGCGCCUGCAACUCCCUCUGCCCUACGAGCAGCUGAAGCACUUCUACCGACAGUCUUCUCCCCAGGCAGAGGACCUGGUGAAGAAGAAACCUUGGGCCAUCACUGAGGCAAGCAGCAGGAAAUGCCAGCAAACCCUGGAAGAACUGGAGAGCGUCCUCAGCCACCUAGAGAGCCUCUUUGCCCGGACCCUAGUACCACGAGUGCUGAUCCUCCUUGGGGGCAGUGUUCUAAAUCCCAAAGAAUUCUACGAGCUUGACUUGUCCCGCUUGGCCCCCAGCAACGUGGACCAGAGGGUGAGCACAGCAGCUUGUUUGCGCCUUAUCUUCCGCGCCAUUUUUAUGGCCGAUGCCUUCAGUGAGCUUCAGGCUCCUCCACUCAUGGGCACCAUUGUCAUGGCACAGGGGCACCGCGACUGUGGAGAAGAUUGGUUUCGACCCAAGCUGAACUACAGAGUGCCCAUACGGGGCCACAAACUGACUGUGACCCUGUCCUGUGGCAGACCCUCCAUCCCGGUCACAGCCUGGGAGGAUUACAUCUGGUUCCAGGCACCAGUGACAUUGAAAGGCUUUCACGAGUGAAGAGGGCCGCUUCUUAAUCGUGAACACGUGGCUAAAUUAUCUUUCCUUCUCUGGCACCAAGUCACCCGGCUCUUGCUUGGAAGUGGAGUUGCUUCCUGACGAGAGGAAGGUUCUGUCCUGGCUACCUGCCUCCCCUUCUCAGACUUCCUGGUGAGGCUUGGUUAACUUGCCCGAGAGUGGAAACCGGAAUUCAAACCUGGCGCUAGAGGCUGAAUGCUUUACCCUGCUGGCAUCUGUGUGUUUUACUGUGAAAUGAUUAAUGAGAAUUUGCCCUGCCAAAGGUGGUAUUGGAAAGCUGCAGGACUCCCCUUUCUGGCUUCAUAUUGUGUUUCCCUACAUGGGACCGGACAGUAAUAGGUGCGGAGUAAAUAUGGAAUCAAUAAAAACAAAAGGUUUGGGUUCUUUUCUGUGCUCUGACCGCCUGAAGCAUAUUCCACCAGCUAGAAUUUUGGCUGUUUUUCCUACCUUACAGAAGAGGAACAGCCAUAUCUCCCGCUUGGGAAAGGACAGGCUGAGAGAGGGUCUGGCUGAACUGAGGGAGAGUUGAAACGGAGUUACAAAUUAUUUUGAGGUGGAAGACAUUAACCCAUGUCAGCUCCCUCGAAUACUGAUUUUAAAAGGCUUCGUAAACAAUAUCUGGACAACCAAAACAAAGUCAUUAUCUGGGUAAUUUAGACACUCAUUUCUCCAUUAGCUUGGCAUUGGGGCCCGGGUCAUUUUGAUUUCAUGAGUCUUCUCCAAAGGAAUUCAGAAAUUAAAAGAUCAGUGUGUGCAUAUAUAUAGGUA